AUGUCCUGUAGUGGGGGAUAGCCCGGCGAAAGCCGGAUUAAUACCGCAUACGAUCUGAGGAUGAAAGCGGGGGACCUUCGGGCCUCGCGCUAUAGGGUUGGCCGAUGGCUGAUUAGCUAGUUGGUGGGGUAAAGGCCUACCAAGGCGACGAUCAGUAGCUGGUCUGAGAGGACGACCAGCCACACUGGGACUGANACACGGCCCAGACUCCUACGGGAGGCAGCAGUGGGGAAUUUUGGACAAUGGGCGAAAGCCUGAUCCAGCAAUGCCGCGUGUGUGAAGAAGGCCUUCGGGUUGUAAAGCACUUUUGUCCGGAAAGAAAUCCUUGGUUCUAAUAUAGCCGGGGGAUGACGGUACCGGAAGAAUAAGCACCGGCUAACUACGUGCCAGCAGCCGCGGUAAUACGUAGGGUGCAAGCGUUAAUCGGAAUUACUGGGCGUAAAGCGUGCGCAGGCGGUUUGCUAANACCGAUGUGAAAUCCCCGGGCUCNACCUGGGAACUGCNUUGGUGACUGGCA
rnacentral:rRNA from 1 species